UGUGUGCCAUGUCCCCAGAAUUGUACCUGCAGUACAACACCAGACAAUAAUGGCGUGUCGAAUUUCUGUGCCAUCGACUGUCAACAUAGCUCUCUAAGCUCAUUGCCUGUAGUGGAAAACUCACUUAGUAGCAGAGUCGUUCAUUUGACUGUUAGUCAUAAUAAUCUAUCCAAUGUUGCAGCUGACUCCUUCCAAGCCUUUCUGAAUCUUGAAAGACUAAACCUUGAAUACAAUCAACUAAGUUCCCUACCUCUAGGAUGCCUAGAGUCUCUGACGAACCUCCAGUCUCUGGAUGUGAGCAAC